GUUGAUAACACGAUGAUGAUGAUACGACUUCAGUGUACCGAUGAUAAGCGAUAACGGACGUGUUCCGAAGUCCGUGACGUGCAGAGACCGCAACCGAAACAGUUGACUCUUCUUGUCAGUUCUUUUUUUUUCAGCACGCACCGAUGCCGAUGGCACUAUCGAUCGGCAACGAGCCCAAAGCAGUUUGCAACGCAUAUGAGACCAAGGGUGGAUCGUGGAACGAGUAACGUAACCUAAUGUCAGUGAUCGUUCGAUAAAUGUACAGAGUUGGAUAGUUGGCGGUAAAUACAUGGCAAGAAAAGUUUUAUGAAGUAUUAUGAAAUGUAUUUCAUCUAUGUUUGAAGUGUUUGAGAAGACUAGGAACGCUUAAAAAUUUAAUUGGCCAUUAGUAAGCGAAUAUUUGAAAAAUGUGUCACGUGAUUUAGAUAUUUAAUAAAAAUAUUAACAACUUUUUCAUUUACAAAUAAUUUUCCAUGUUAUUGAUCCGCAACAUCUGUUAUAGAUAUUGUUCAUGGUCAAGUUUUGACAAAAAAAAUUCCGUUAUAUAACAUAAAAAAACCAGAUCCUUACAGUGUAACAAUUAUGUUUAUUUAAAAAUCAAUAAAUAUUGUAUUUAUAAGAAAAGAUAAGGUAUAGAUUAAGAUGUAUAGGCAAAUUAUACAGUAUUUGAUAAUUAUUCAACAUUUUAUAAAG